rnacentral:lncRNA from 1 species
UACAUAUAUCAUGUGCAAAUAGUGUUAACAUUCAUUGCAUGCGUGCUAGCUACUGGGCAUAUGUUAUGUACGAAAAUGAAGUUAUACAUCAUAUUAAACGCAUAUAUCAUAUGUAAACUAUAUGCUGCACGCAUACUGGGAAGUAUAUUAUAUGUAAGGAAUGAGAUUCUUAGUAGCAAGUCAAAAUGGCAAUAGAAAGAGAUCUCUAAUGAUAAAGGGUUUAAUAUAACAAAAAUAUCUAAAAAAUUAAGAAAGUAUAAAUAUGGUGAUUAAAAUCUAUGGUGGUCUGGGAGACGAAGACCCUCCUUCAUUGUUGACUCAAAAUCUGAAUAGCUUUCUCUAAUUCUUAAGUUGUGGAGCCAGUAAUUUUAUUUGUAAAACCCACAACAUCAUAUGUUGUAGAUUUAAUAGCUCUAUCUACUCGGUUAAUUAGCAAAUCGAAAUCUUUAUUUGCAAAAGACAAAAUAAUGUUCUCAUUGCAUUGCAUCGUUGGUAGAUUCAAGUUCUCCAAUAAUUGUUUGUCUAUGAUCUCCACAGUCGUUUUCUCUAUUUCUAUUGCUGCCUCUUCAUCAGUUGCAGCUGCAACAAUCAAAUCAAUGUCGUUAAUUUUACCGUUAGAUUCUUACCUAAUAUGAUCACCAUAUAAAGAGUUCAUAUGAGGAGAUAAUGUAUAGAUAGAAUAAUAUUAACAAACGAUGUAUUACUUAUAUAAUACUUAAUUAGUUUUAAAAUUAUAUUAGAUUUAGACAUAAAAUGUUAUGAUAUUACAAGAGUAACUAGUAAGAAAGUAUAUGAUUACUAUAGGUUAUUAUAGUUAGUUAAUGUGAAUUUACAUCUUAAAUGUAAGAUGUCAUUUUAAAUAAAUACUUAAUUGAUGUUCAUAUAUGUGUAACAUCUUAAGCAAAAGCAAAAGCAAUACAAAAAGAAUAUAUGAUCGCCGAAAUACGAGUCUUAGUGGUUUUAGGUUUAGGUUGAAAUAUUAUAUCUUUACCCAUUAAUUUAGUUAAGAGAGACUUACAGAUGGUUCUAGAUUUAGAUUGAAAGAAGCAUUGGAGGUCCUCUGUGUUUUUUUCACAAAGACCACCGGUAUAUAUCUUUUGCUCCUCAUCAUUAUUUCUCUUGUUAUCUUUUUCAUUGAUUGAAAUACCUUUAUUUGAGUGUAAGCUCAUCCUCAUGAAUAGCUCUUCUAGGGAAUUCUCAAUAGACUCUAGAAUCUUCUCCUUCAUCUUCUGAUCAUACCUCUUCAAUACACGUCUUGGCUUACAGUUUGAGUUACACUUGUCUGUAUUUUCUUCUAUCUCAUGAAGAAUAACUUUUCUUUUUUUCUUUCCGCUUAAAAAAAAAUUUUACUUAUAGCAUAACCGUGUAACAACUUACGUAUUUAUCAAAUUGUACCCACCAAAUAAAAAUUUGUAAUCUAUAAAAAUAAAAAACGAAGUUAUUUCACCGAUAAAAUUUAUAAAUGUAUAGUGUGUAAAAACCAUUCUUAUUACAAUAGGAUCAAUUGAUUAUUCUGCCCCCUUUCUCUUUCCCUUGUUGUCUUCACUGUCAUCUAUAAGUACUAAAAAAUGAAGUCACUGUAAUUUUCUUUUACAUGCACCUAUUAAUAACUACAUAUUAUGUAAUGAGGCUAAGUGAGUUACUUGGGCUUAAUCAUUCUCAUUUGCUAUCUUCUUUAUCUCGGAAUCUAUGGAUCUUGUACCUGAAGAAUUCAUCAUCUAUACAAUCACACAAAACCAAGUUAAAUCCAAUAAUCUGCACAUGAAUAAAAAUAUCAAUUUCAGUCUUAUAUGUUAAUUAACUACUUCAUCAAUGACAAAAGGCAUAUCUCCUGCCACCCCCUUCUGGUUUUCUUCCUUGGUUGAUAUGUGUAAAUUAACAGGCGAACUAAGUACAUUUUGAUCAAAAUCUUGCACAUUGAGAAACUAUUAUAUGCAUUUCUAUCUAAGCAUCUUAUAUAUAUACACACAUAUAUAUAAUAAAUACACUCCACUCACUGAUGGAGUCUUUUCUCUCUCU